rnacentral:rRNA from 1 species
AGCAGCCGCGGUAAUUCCAGCUCCAAUAGCGUAUAUUAAAGUUGUUGCAGUUAAAAAGCUCGUAGUUGAAUUUCGGGGUUAGUAGGUUGGUCAUGCCUCUGGUAUGUACUGGUCUCACUGAUUCCUCCUUCCUGAUGAACCUUAAUGCCAUUAAUUUGGUGUUUUGGGGAAUUUGGACUGUUACUUUGAAAAAUUAGAGUGUUUAAAGCAAGCUAACGCUUGAAUACAUUAGCAUGGAAUAAUGAAAUAGGACGUUCGAUCCUAUUUUGUUGGUUUCUAGGAUUGACGUAAUGAUUAAUAGGGAUAGUUGGGGGCAUUAGUAUUCAAUUGUCAGAGGUGAAAUUCUUGGAUUUAUUGAAGACUAACUACUGCGAAAGCAUUUGCCAAGGAUGUUUUCAUUAAUCAAGAACGAAAGUUAGGGGAUCGAAGACGAUCAGAUACCGUCGUAGUCUUAACCAUAAACUAUGCCGACUAGGGAUCGGAUGAUGUUAAUUUUUAAUG